rnacentral:rRNA from 1 species
UACAGAGGUGGCAAGCGUUGUUCGGAAUUACUGGGCGUAAAGGGCGCGUAGGCGGCCUUCUAAGUCAGACGUGAAAUCCCCCGGCUUAACCUGGGAACUGCGUCUGAUACUGGGAGGCUUGAGUAUGGGAGAGGGAUGUAGAAUUCCAGGUGUAGCGGUGAAAUGCGUAGAUAUCUGGAGGAAUACCGGGGGCGAAGGCGGCAUCCUGGACCAUAACUGACGCUGAGGCGCGAAAGCUAGGGGAGCAAACGGG